rnacentral:tRNA from 1 species
GGGUUGGUAGCUCAGUGGAUUAGAGCACAUGGUUCUAGACCUUGGAGUAAAGGGUUCAAAUCCCUUCUAGCCCG